rnacentral:lncRNA from 1 species
CACCUAUAAGUGAGAACAUGCGGUGUUUGGUUUUUUGUCCUUGGGAUAGUUUGGACAUGAACUCAUCAUUUUUUAUGGCUGCAUAGUAUUCCAUGGUGUAUAUGUGCCACAUUUUCUUAAUCCAGUCUAUCAUUGUUGGACAUUUGGGUUGAUUCCAAGUGUUUGCUAUUGUGAAUAGUGCUGCAAUAAACAUACAUGUGCAUGUGUCUUUAUAGCAGCACGGUUUAUAAUCCUUUGGGUGUAUACCCAGUAAUGGGAUGGCUGGGUCAAAUGGUAUUUCUACUUCUAGAUCCCUGAGGAAUCGCCACACUGACUUCCACAUGGUUGAACUAGUUUACAGUCCCACCAACAGUGUA